AUUGAACGCUGGCGGCAGGCCUAACACAUGCAAGUCGAACGAGUGGCGGACGGGUGAGUAAUGUCUGGGAAACUGCCUGAUGGAGGGGGAUAACUACUGGAAACGGUAGCUAAUACCGCAUACCAUCAGAUGUGCCCAGAUGGGUUUGGCUUGUUGGGGGGGUAACGGCUCACCAAGGCGACGAUCCCUAGCUGGUCUGUGAGGAUGACCAGUCAAACUGGAACUGAGACACGGGCCAGACUCCUACGGGAGGCAGCAGUGGGGAAUAUUGCACAAUGGGCUCAGGUCUGAUGCAGCCAUGCCGCGUGUAUGAAGAGGGCCUGCGGGCUGGAAAGUACUUUCAGCGUGGAGGCGUUACCCGCAGAAGAAGCACCGGCUAACUCCGUGCCAGCAGCCGCGGUAAGAC
rnacentral:rRNA from 1 species